AGAGUUUGAUCCUGGCUCAGGACGAACGCUGGCGGCGUGCUUAACACAUGCAAGUCGAACGGUAAGGCCCUUCGGGGUACACGAGUGGCGAACGGGUGAGUAACACGUGGGUAAUCUGCCCUGCACAUCGGGAUAAGCCUGGGAAACUGGGUCUAAUACCGAAUAGGACCACAGGACACAUGUCCUGUGGUGGAAAGCUUUUGCGGUGUGGGAUGGGCCCGCGGCCUAUCAGCUUGUUGGUGGGGUGAUGGCCUACCAAGGCGACGACGGGUAGCCGGCCUGAGAGGGUGUCCGGCUACACUGGGACUGAGAUACGGCCCAGACUCCUACGGGAGGCAGCAGUGGGGAAUAUUGCACAAUGGGCGAAAGCCUGAUGCAGCGACGCCGCGUGGGGGAUGACGGCCUUCGGGUUGUAAACCUCUUUCACCAUCGACGAAGGUCCGGGUUUUCUCGGGCUGACGGUAGGUGGAGAAGAAGCACCGGCCAACUACGUGCCAGCAGCCGCGGUAAUACGUAGGGUGCGAGCGUUGUCCGGAAUUACUGGGCGUAAAGAGCUCGUAGGUGGUUUGUCGCGUUGUUCGUGAAAUCUCACGGCUUAACUGUGAGCGUGCGGGCGAUACGGGCAGACUUGAGUACUGCAGGGGAGACUGGAAUUCCUGGUGUAGCGGUGGAAUGCGCAGAUAUCAGGAGGAACACCGGUGGCGAAGGCGGGUCUCUGGGCAGUAACUGACGCUGAGGAGCGAAAGCGUGGGGAGCGAACAGGAUUAGAUACCCUGGUAGUCC
rnacentral:rRNA from 1 species